rnacentral:rRNA from 1 species
UACGGAGGAUCCAAGCGUUAUCCGGAUUCAUUGGGUUUAAAGGGUGCGUAGGCGGAAUGAUAAGUCAGUGGUGAAAUCCUUCAGCUUAACUGGAGAACUGCCAUUGAUACUGUCAAUCUUGAGUACAUUUGAUGUGGGCGGAAUGUGUCAUGUAGCGGUGAAAUGCUUAGAUAUGACACAGAACACCGAUUGCGAAGGCAGCUCACAAAAACUGUAACUGACGCUGAAGGCACGAAAGCGUGGGUAUCAAACAGGA